CGGGAAUGGAGGCGGCUUACACGUGACAGUCGAGCGCCACCUUGGGGGUCGCUGAGGGGGUGAGCCCGCGGGGGAACGUACUUUUGCUACCGAACUCUCGGGGUUUUUGCGCUACCCCAUAUGCCCCCCCCUUGAAACCCUGAGGAGUCAUAAAAGGCCCUGUUAUUUUAUGGGGGGGGAAAGAUUUAUCGGCAAAUGAUCGGCCCGCGUUGGAUUAGCUAGUUGGUGGGGUAAAGGCCUACCAAGGCGACGAUCCAUAGCUGGUCUGAGAGGAUGAUCACCCACACUGGGACUGACACACGGCCCACACUCCUACGGGAGGCAGCAGUGGGGAAUAUUGGACAAUGGGCGCAAGCCUGAUCCACCCCUGCCGCGUGAGUGAUGAAUGCCCAACGGUUGUAACUCUCUUUCACCGGUGAAGAUUAUGACUGUAACCGGAGAGGAACCCCCGGGUAACUUCGUGCCAACAGCCGCGGGUAAUACAAAGGGGGCUCCCGUUGUUCAAAUUUACUGGGCGUAAAGCGCACAUAUACUGGCUAAUAAAUCAGGGGUGAAAGCUUGGGGCUCACCCCCGGAACUGCCCCCUGAUACUGCUAGGCUUGGGUAUGGUAAAUGUGAGUGUAUUUCCUCAGUGUAAAGGAGAAAUACUUUCUAUCUUCGGAGGAAAAAUCAGUGGAGAAGGUGGCUGACUGCACCAUUACUGACGCAAGAUGUGCGAAGCAUGGGGAGCAAAACAGCAUAAAAUACCCCGGGUGGUCCCACGCCGUAACCCAUGAGUGGUUCCCCCCCGCUGGGAAGAGGAUGACUCCUCCGGUGGGCGGCAAGCGGAUUCCCCCCACCUAUAUUCCCUCCCGGCGAGAAGUACGGUCCGCCACUACCUCACAGCGGUGAAAACAAAGUUGACAGGAAGGGCCCGACAACCACACGAAUUGAGCGAGUGCCUUCAUUUUACUAUGCCGACCCGACCAGAGCUUUAUCUACUACCGUUGGCGCUCCAGAAACACACCUCCCUACGUGGUGAAGGGAGACAUUCCCUGUCCAAUCCCAGAUUGAGAGAGGGAAAGCACCACUCCCCCUGGGUGGGGGAGAGUGAGACACACGACCGUGGCGUUGGAUGAGAUCGUUUGCUCUCUAAUCUCUCCCGCCACAGCAGAAGCGGAUGAAGAUUCAACAUAUAAAACGACGAAGCGACUGCCAAUUAUGUAGCAUUCGAUCGUAACUAUAAUCGAUGUCG
rnacentral:rRNA from 1 species